UCAACCUUCAAACCCCGUGUUUGUAGUUGGGUCAAGUUUCGUCGAGAAACCGGCCUCAAAGAUAAUGAUGGAGUCUGGGAAUGAUCCUCGAUGCGAUGAGCUUUUUUCAAAGCAUGCAUUGAUCCAUCAUCUCAGCCUGUCGUCCCUCUUUAAAUUUUAAAA
rnacentral:misc_RNA from 1 species